GAAGAAGAGGCACAUCCUGGAACAAGGUUACACUGUUGAUAGUUACGCAAGAGGGAAAAUUAUGCAUGUUUUGUUUACUUUCUCUAUCGAAUACAGAUUGCCCCGUCUACAAUUUGAUCGAUUAUUAACGUUUAAAAAUACCUAAAGUUGUAGUACAAAAGUAGUUUGAAAUAUUUUGGCAAAGUUUAUAGGCAACUUUUGAAAUGUUUUGUAGUGACGUUGUGUUUUGGAAAGCUGUUUUUUUCCAGAUCAAACCUGCUUUAUAAAUGGACAUGUUGGGUAUACAUGGACGGAAUUAAUCGAAAAAAAAAGGACCAAUUGUGAUGUUUAUGGGACAUAUUGGAGUGCCAACAAAGAAGCUCGUCAAAGAUUGCGUGUUUGCUAGCAGAAUUGAGAGGAGUGGGGGCUUCGAUCGCCUCCGACGACUCAGAAGGCAGCCCACCCUCCGGCCUCUCUUUCUCCGCCUCCUCUUCACGCAGAUCAUUGGGUUUGGGCCCGUUCCCGAGGGAGCCAUAUAUCCUCCGCCUCGGGCUCGUCAGAGUCGUGAAAGAAGAAAAAGGAUAUUGCUAAGUCCUUGGCCGGUGGUGGCUGGUUCACUGCAAUGCAGCAAUGAAGGGUCCAAGACGUCCUCCACCGGCACCCAGCAUCUCCGGACCGUACCCCUCCCACUCUUCUAUGACUAACGAGAACAGAGCAGGAGAUAUUGGACAGCCUUGACUACAGCCCCUCCCGAUAGGAACUCUUUCUGAUAAUUUACCAUUUGCAUUAACUGCCACUGAUGGGUCAAAAUAAAGUAAUUUUACUAAAUUAAUAAAAUUGUCACCCAGAUUAACUGCUUCUAAUACAGCAAACAAGCAUUUACACUCAAAUCUAUCGAAGGCCUUUCGGCGAGAGAGACAAUGAGUGUAGGGUCUUUAAUUCUGCAAAGGUGGUUUAUGAUAUUCAAAGAACGUCUCACAUUGUCCGUUCCAAAUCUGGAUUUGGCAUAUCUAGAUUUGGCAUAACUUGUCCAAUAAAGAAUAUAAAUUAUG
ensembl:lncRNA